AACUUUUAGCAAUGGAUCACUUGGCUCUCGCAUCGAUGAAGAACGCAGCGAAAUGCGAUAAGUAAUGUGAAUUGCAGACCUCAGUGAAUCAUCGAAUCUUUGAACGCAUAUUGCACUCUCUGGUAUUCCGGAGAGUAUGCCUGUUUCAGUAUCAGUAAACACCAUCAAACACCUCCAGGAGGGGUUUUUGGAUUUGAGCGUUGCCGAAGAAAGACUUACCAUUUUUGUUCGGCUUGUUUGAAAUGAAAGUACACAGGACAGGAUCCUAGACCGCCGAGGUGAGAAAACAAAGCGUAGUAGUUGACUUGAUUGUCUUCUUUCGCUGAAAAAGAACACCCGGUUUUUGGGACCUUGCUGUGCAAAUUCGCAGGAAGAAAAAGGAAUCAUUCUUUUUUCACUUCUUGAUCUGAAAUCAGGUAGGACUACCCGCUGAACUUAAGCAUAUCAAUAAGCGGA
rnacentral:misc_RNA from 1 species